GUCACAACACGUUGAAACACCUGUUCUCGUACGAUCAUCGAAGUUAAGCAACGUCGAGCCUAGUCAGUACCUAGACGGGUAAUCGUCUGAGAAUACCAGGUGAUGUAAG